rnacentral:misc_RNA from 1 species
CUGAAGAGGAAACUAGCGCCUGGAAAAGCUCUUCUUGCGUUCGUUUAAUCAUUAAGGUGUUUGGAAUACUGAUCAAUAUUCUUACUUAGAUUGAGUACCUGAGCAUAUUGUUUAAAGUCAUUUAAACAAUAUUAUUGUUAUAAUUAUUUUAGUUAUUUGUUUAUUAAAACCAAUAGAGGAGCGUAGGUAUAGGCGUUGAUCAGCCCCCCUCUAUGUGUUGAAGAAGACUAAACUUUUUGUGGAAACGAUUAUGUGAACACGCUGCUUUUUUUGCAAAAGGCAUCAGGUUCGAAGUGGUGAAAACGCCGGAGAAGGUUAAAAUUUCAAAACGACAGAUACUAUUUGAGUGCCGGAUGACACAGGUUAUUUAGCUAAAAUGGACGAACUGAAGGCAUAAACUGGUUUGGUUUAGUACGGUUCAAUAAAAUGCAGACGACGGGAAGAACAAUUUUUCUAAAUAGCAACUGAUGAGAUUUUUGAGUAUUCCAAUAAAUGGCUUAAACUGCUUCGAUUAUAAUAUUUCAAAUAGAUUUUCUCUGAAAAUAUACAAUCUAAUGCGGGGAUGAAUAGAAUCGUUACAAACUGGCAAGUGCGUGGAGCGUUGGUAGGGCUGUGCCUCGUGAUGAGGGGGCUCGCCCAGGGCCCCACGAUCGGGCCUUGCGGUGCCCACAACACGACUGAGAACUUCAACGACGCCUACAUUCGCGGACUUCCUGACGAAGAUUAUUUCAUGGUAAUGUCGGGUGAUCAGCUGUCGGAUGACAUGCGGAUGAAGUUCUUUCACAACUCAAUGAAUUCAUUGAUCAGACGGGGCGGUCUGCUCAGCACACAGGAGAGUACCGCGCGCAGGCUCACGCUGCCUCUGCCCCAGCCACCAUAACGCUGCACUCCCUCCCCGCUGGAGCAUUCGGUAGUGUAUCCGGCACUGUAACGUUCAGCGUUAUAAAGGCCGAGCCUGGAGUUCUUGACUUGAUCUCGUGCAUCAGUGAGGGCCUUCUGCACCAUAAUCGAAGACAUGUUCUGAUCUCCGCGACUCGGCUUCACUCUGUCAUAACAGCUCCGACCAGUUUAGACUCGGCCGCCAGCGAUACACCGAACUCCAAAAAUCAAGUUAGGUUGAAUGAGAUUUUGCGAUCAGGUGGUAAUGUUACGGCGAAUUUUCGACUGAAUAAUGUACUCGAAGGAAUUAUUUUCGUUCCUUCGCAUAUUAUCAUUCUUGGUCUACUGUGUUUGUCAUUUCCUGAUCCACCUGCAUGUUUCAAAAGAGUUGUAAAAGCUAUGCUAGAGCCGUUCUUUCCAUCACAACCAGCGGCCUUGUUGUACAACACUGCACCCACAUAUUCAAAUUCAGCUCCUAAAUUCUUAAGGCACCUUUUUUCUUUCCAGAGCCAUUCUGCAGUACACAGUUCAACCCAACAUGAAAACUGCAAUCAUGUCCCAAACUCAGCUGAACGCUUCAACAGUGUUGAAAAUCCGGAUCAGAAUAAACCCGUUGGAAGUCCCAUAUUUACUGGUUUGUUUUUAUUCAACACCGGACAGUACAACCUUUUCAUCCCAGGCUAAGAAAUACCUGGCUACCAGUGAGAACAAAUGGAAUAAAGGAUGGUGGUAAUGUUUUUCUUUAUGACGAUAACAAUUUAUAAAUAUUGACAAUUUUUAUUUGGUCAAGAAAUUAAUUCCUGUAGCGUGUUUCAUUUUCGUUUUUUAGGAUGGGGUAUUGCUUUCGUGUUAUUCAAAAUAUUCAUGGAUAUUUCUAAUUUAUUUUGUGUUGUUAUUCAUUUGCGCAUGACCAAUGGUAAUUACGUGCACAGAAAGCUAGGCUAUUUGAUGUUAUCAUUAGGCUUUCUGAUGAUAGUAAAAAACAGGCCGACAAAUCCAAACACACACAAACUAUCUAACAUCUUUCGUUUAUAGAGAACUUUUAUAUUUUAAAUUUUGAUUAUUCGAGCUUUUAAGAGCUAGAUUGACGAAUGAGAUCUCAAUAUGUAAUUUUAGGUUACUGAAUUUUGUACUUCUCGCAUAUAUCAAAUCCAUUCUACGGUUAUUGCAACCUAGAUUACAUUAACACUGCACAAACGCACGAUGAAACACAGUGCUAUAAAUUGACUAGAAAAAUAUUUUCGUAGUUUUUCUUGGAAAACAUUAAAAGCAUAGUAACUCUCAAGAAGUCUAAUUGGUCCAGAGCCGUAACAAAUUAUUUGAAGCACGAAAAGCUUGUCUAAUAUUCAGAAAUGCUAAAACAUCCUAAUGACUAUAAUAAAAAAAUGUGCGGUGAUCCUUUUCUACGUGGGCACUUUUUCGAAAUUGAAAUGAUUCAGAAACAUUUGUUGGAGAUGGAUGACUUUACCGAUAAAAUCUUACGCUACAGAUUCGAAAAUAGGUGAAAAUGGAUCUCAAAAUGAUUGAGGGACAUUUUUAAAAUUACUCACAAACUGUGUUCAAAAUAUAGGUAUUAUCCAACGUGACGGAAUUAUUGGCUUUGAUAUUAUCUUGAUUCUGCUUGAUGAUGCAAGUAAUGUAUCAAUUCGAAUUUCACUAUUUAUAAAGAAAUAUAAAUGUAUGAUCGCAUCCAUAAAAGUUGUUUAUUUCUUCAAUGACUGUGAAAAUAUUGAAUUUAUGGAUAAAUUUUUGACAACUUGCGUCUGCUAUUGAAAUUAGUUUGUUUUUAGCGGGUAAACUUUGUAAAAAAGAUUAAUUGGGAUUGACUCUGGGUAUGAAAAUUUUUAGCAUUACGAGGAAAAUUCUAGCAAUUUCGUAGAGUGCACAUUUACUAAUUCCUAGUUAGCACCAUCUUGUGCAGUAUGUCUAGUAUUCAUAAUAGACUAUUCUGACUGUAGAUGCUAAAACAUUAAUUACUAGUGCCGUGAUAUGUGUUUAACUUUUACUGAAAACUGUGCGGUGUUCCUUUUCUACUUAGGCACAUUUUCCGAAAUUGCAAUGGUGUUUUCCAAGAUUUUACGAAAUGGUCGCAAUGGAAAUUGUUUAAGAUAUGAUUAGUAUGAAUACAUUUUGAUGACAGACUCGAUUGCAGAACAACAUCUAUUAUGCUUCCCCUACAUAGUCUGCUGUAUGCAGUUAUUACGGGUUUUCGUCACGUCCAGUUUUUAGAAUGUGUUGUGUGCGGCAUUGACGGGGCUGUGCCUCGUGCUGGGGGGGCUCGCCCAGGGCCCCACGAUCAGGCCCUGCGGUGCCCCCGCCACGACUGAGAACUUCAACGACGCCUACAUUAGUAAGCUUCAUGAGGAAGGUUUCAUGGUGGUGAUGGCAGAGGGUCAACAGUUAUCCGACAAGCAGUUGAAGUUUUUCGACAACGGUACCUACCUCUGUGAAUAUAUGGACCGGGCGGGGCGGUCAGCUCAGCACACAGGAGAGUACCGCGCGCAGGCUCACGCUGCCUCUGCCCCAGCCACCAUAACGCUGCACUCCCUCCCCGCUGCGGAAUUUGGAGGCGGGUCCGGCGCUGUAACGUUCAGUGUUAUAAAGGCCGAGCAUGGAGUUCUCGACUUGAUAUCCUGCAGCAGGGAGGGCCUUCUGUCCCGCGAGCGAAGACACGUUCUGAUCUCCACGAAGCUGCUUCGCUCGGCCACGCCUGCUGGGGACAGUUUGUACGCUUUCGCCUAUGGCAACCUACCGAGCCAUGAUGUUAGGUUUGGUGAAUUAUUGCGAUCAGGUAAUGAGGCAAUUGCAAGUCCAAGACAAGUGAAUUUAUCAUUUAUUCCUCUUGCAAUCCUAGGCCUUCCAGCCGCCAUUGCGGUUUGCCUGAUAUUUGCGUCCUACCCUGAUAUUUCCUCAUGUUUUGCGGUCUAUAAAGAGAACGUACGAAAAGUUAUUUUCCCGUCUCAGCCAGUGGCACUGUUGUACAACACUGAGCCUGAAUUUGUCCUCUCAAUUCCAACAUUCAUAUCGCCUCAGUAUCAAUUGAAGCAUUGACAUUUUAUAUACAGUCCAUUGCCUCCUCAAGAAGUUGAAUGAAUUCCGUUCGCCGCUCAACGACAAAAAAUGAAGCUAUUGUACGAUAAUCUCGUUGCUUAUCAGCUUUUUUGGUCCCUAACUUAAAGUCUGUUUCGUUUUAAUAUUUUCUCUUCCAGACAAAAUUAUCCAUGGCCCUCAUGGGAGUGAAUAUAACUUGUUUGUAAUAUUGAUACUAAUAAAACACUUUUCAUAUUGAA